GACCUGCAAUGAGCAGCACUACCACAGUUCUGAUCAGGAGGUCUCUCCCAGAGUUACUGAAGGGAGACAGUGCUGUGCUGGAGUGUGCCAUCACACAACUCUCCUCCAGUGACAUCUAUGUCACCUUUCAGGCCAAUGGGGUUGAUUUCCCUGAGAAACAGUAUGUGGAUCUGCCUGCCUCCAAAGGCCCCCAUUCACUCACCAGACGGUUCUCUAUCCCCAAAUCACACUGGAAGACAGACAACACUUUCACCUGUAAAGUGAACCAAGGCUACUCCAACAGCUGGGUGUCUAGCUCCAAAGUCAAGCUUUUGGAAAUGGUGUUCUUUCCAGGUGAACUGUCCAUGGAACUCCUUCCUGUCCCCAGUGAGGAGUCGUCUGGCUCAGGGACCCAGAAACUCAUGUGUUCUGGGUGGGGCUUCAACCCUAAGAUCAAGUGGCUCUCUGGGUCUGAACAGAGGUCUGCAGCAGACAAUGAGAUAAGGAUGGGGGAAGACGGACAUGUGGCACUAACCAGUCAUAUCACAGUAACACAGCAGGAGUGGAAUGAGGGGAUGGUCUUCAUCUGUGAGGUAGAUGACAAAGAUCUUCAGAAAACUGUCAGGAAGAGCACCAGUUUAUGCACAGCUUUUCCCUCGUCUACUCCAUCCAUCCACCUGGAGACCCCCAGAUUCAGGACAGUGAUGACACAGACUGAGGUAACAGCUAAAUGUGUGGUCCACUCUGCGUAUGACGCCAAAGUGUCCUGGCUUCUGGAUGGAAAAGAUCCAACCAGUAGGACCCCAGUGAACCAGGCCAGCAGGACAACUCAGAGCAUCAGCAGUAACCUGACUCUUCCCUCAAGCCAAUGGAAAACCCUGAACACAAUAACAUGCAGAGCUGAACAUCGCUGCUUCAACUCCACAGAGAAGACCAGUAAUGUUAAAGGACCUGCAAUGAGCAGCACUACCACAGUUCUGAUCAGGAGGUCUCUCCCAGAGUUACUGAAGGGAGACAGUGCUGUGCUGGAGUGUGCCAUCACACAACUCUCCUCCAGUGACAUCUAUGUCACCUUUCAGGCCAAUGGGGUUGAUUUCCCUGAGAAACAGUAUGUGGAUCUGCCUGCCUCCAAAGGCCCCCAUUCACUCACCAGACGGUUCUCUAUCCCCAAAUCACACUGGAAGACAGACAACACUUUCACCUGUAAAGUGAACCAAGGCUACUCCAACAGCUGGGUGUCUAGCUCCAAAGUCAAGCUUUUUGGUGAACUGUCCAUGGAACUCCUUCCUGUCCCCAGUGAGGAGUCGUCUGGCUCAGGGACCCAGAAACUCAUGUGUUCUGGGUGGGGCUUCAACCCUAAGAUCAAGUGGCUCUCUGGGUCUGAACAGAGGUCUGCAGCAGACAAUGAGAUAAGGAUGGGGGAAGACGGACAUGUGGCACUAACCAGUCAUAUCACAGUAACACAGCAGGAGUGGAAUGAGGGGAUGGUCUUCAUCUGUGAGGUAGAUGACAAAGAUCUUCAGAAAACUGUCAGGAAGAGCACCAGUUUAUGCACAGCUUUUCCCUCGUCUACUCCAUCCAUCCACCUGGAGACCCCCAGAUUCAGGACAGUGAUGACACAGACUGAGGUAACAGCUAAAUGUGUGGUCCACUCUGCGUAUGACGCCAAAGUGUCCUGGCUUCUGGAUGGAAAAGAUCCAACCAGUAGGACCCCAGUGAACCAGGCCAGCAGGACAACUCAGAGCAUCAGCAGUAACCUGACUCUUCCCUCAAGCCAAUGGAAAACCCUGAACACAAUAACAUGCAGAGCUGAACAUCACUGCUUCAACUCCACAGAGAAGACUAGUAAUGUUAAAGGUUAGCAUGGAACUUCGUGAUCAUAUAU